CGGAGAGAUGCCAGAGCGGUUGAAUGGAUCGGUCUCGAAAACCGACAUACGACUUAUCGUAUCGGGGGUUCGAAUCCUCUCUUCCCGACCA
rnacentral:tRNA from 1 species